UACAGAGGCCCCGAGCGUUAGGCGGAAUCACUGGGCUUAAAGCGUGUGUAGGCGGACCGGUAAGUACCUUGUGAAAUCCCACGGCUCACCCGUGGAACUGCUGGGCAUACUGGGCGUCUUGGGCCAACUAGGGGCAGCCGGAACAAGCGGUGGAGCGGUGAAAUGCGUAGAUAUCGCUUGGAACGCCGAAGGUGAAAACAGGCUGCUGGGGUUGCGCCGACGCUGAGACACGAAAGCCAGGGGAGCAAACGGG
rnacentral:rRNA from 1 species